AUUGAACGCUGGCGGCAGGCCUAACACAUGCAAGUCGAGCGGAGCGGCGGACGAGCGAGUCAUGCCUAGGAAUCUGCCUGGAAGUGGGGAUUACGUCCGGAAAUGGGCGCUAAUACAGAAUACUAUCAGAUGAUCCUUGAUCGGAUUAGCUAGUUGGUGGGGUAAAGGCAUGCCAAGGCGACGAUCCGUAACUGGUCUGAGAGGAUGAGCAGUCACACUGGAACGGAGACACGGGCCAGACUCCUACGGGAGGCAGCAGUGGGGAAUAUUGGACAAUGGGCGAAAGCCUGAUCCAGCCAUGCCGCGUGUGUGAAGAAGGUCUUCGGAUUGUAAAGCACUUUAAGUUGGGAGGCGUUACCAACAGAAUAAGCACCGGCUAACUUCGUGCCAGCCGCCGCGGUAAUAC
rnacentral:rRNA from 1 species